GACGAACGCUGGCGGCGUGCUUAACACAUGCAAGUCGAACGGAAAGGCCCUUCGGGGUACUCGAGUGGCGAACGGGUGAGUAACACGUGGGUGAUCUGCCCUGCACUUUGGGAUAAGCCUGGGAAACUGGGUCUAAUACCGAAUAGGACCACGCGCUUCAUGGUGUGUGGUGGAAAGCUUUUGCGGUGUGGGAUGGGCCCGUGGCCUAUCAGCUUGUUGGUGGGGUAAUGGCCUACCAAGGCGACGACGGGUAGCCGGCCUGAGAGGGUGACCGGCCACACUGGGACUGAGAUACGGCCCAGACUCCUACGGGAGGCAGCAGUGGGGAAUAUUGCACAAUGGGCGCAAGCCUGAUGCAGCGACGCCGCGUGAGGGAUGACGGCCUUCGGGUUGUAAACCUCUUUCAAUAGGGACGAAGCGAAAGUGACGGUACCUAUAGAAGAAGCUCCGGCCAACUACGUG
rnacentral:rRNA from 1 species